rnacentral:misc_RNA from 1 species
CGCACAUUGCGCCCCCUGGUAUUCCGGGGGGCAUGCCUGUCCGAGCGUCAUUUCACCAAUCGAGCCCCGCUCGGUGUUGGGCGGCCGGCUUCCGCGAGGAGGCCCGCCCCGAAACCAUCGGCGAGGGGACCGACCCCCGGCGUUUUGAGGAUUCCCCCGGGAAAUUCGCACGUCGGGAGCACCGGCCCGCUCCGCCGCAGAACCUUUCUUUUUGAAUCAUCAAGGUUGACCUCGGAUCAGGUAGGGAUACCCGCUGAACUUAA